AACGCACAUUGCGCCCCUUGGUAUUCCGAGGGGCAUGCCUGUUCGAGCGUCAUUAAACCCCUCAAGCUCUGCUUGGUGUUGGGGACCGCGGUAUCGCGGCCCUUAAAAUCAGUGGCGGUGCCGUCUGGCUCUCAGCGUAGUAAUGCUUUCGCUACAGGGCCCAGCCGGUGGCUGCCAGAACCCCAUUUCUCAGUUUGACCUCGGAUCAGGUAGGGAUACCCGCUGAACUUAA
rnacentral:misc_RNA from 1 species